rnacentral:lncRNA from 1 species
GAUGUCAACACCAUUGCUUACCUUUGAGGUCUCUUUAAUGUAUUGUUAUUUUGGCCAGUGGGAAUCACUGCUGCUGGCGAAAGCAUGGGGCUUCCUGGAGGAGGAGACCUGGUGACCCACAGGCUGUCUGAAAUGGUCUGAAAACGAGCAGAAGUUAGGCCGAUGUGCUUCAAAAGGCGGGUUCUGUGAAGGCCAGCACUUGGCUUCCGAGUUGUGUGCCCCUUAUUUCCAUUCCUGGGUGAAGAUUAAUGUUUCUGACAUGGCAGAGGGUACUACUUUAGACUGAGGAAGCGAGAUGAAGAGCCAAUUGUUUUCUGCAUCGAGUUUGUAAGAUGUAAACAAAUCUUGCUGCUGAUUGAAAAAGAGAACAACUAUUGCGACCGUCCUCAAAAGGAGGAGUCAGAUUACUGCCCAGUCUAAAGCAGCCACAUGCUGACAAGCCCUGUCUGCUGAGGCAGCUCUUCAGAUGUCUGGGGAAUGGAGACUGAUGGUCCCAGCAGGGGAGAGACUGUGUUGACUUCGGAUGUCUCCAGAAACAGGGAUGUCAUGGUUUGGAUUGGAUGGAUGUCAUGCACAGUUCCAAAGGAACAGCGCCAGUGUCUCCAGGCUGAAAACUCUGAAAUGGUGACGAGAAGCCCAGGCUCUUCUCAGAUGGUUUGUCACAGAGCAGGGAAGCGGACACAGCACCAACGAUGACAGGGUGAAGCUUCCGGACUGUGAAAUGUCUCGAAGAAAACCCUUUGCACCUGCAGAGCAGACAGUGGUGUGGGUCACAGCAGUAUCCCCUCCCCAGGGGUUUAUACUCUGGGGUUCCACUGCCCCACGCUCCAUUGUGAUCUGUAAAUGUUAAAUGGAAAAAUAGAAAAUUCAUAAGUUUUAAGUAA